UACUAGCAGCUGGAUCAUGGCUAAUUGUGGUAAGGCUCUGUUCCAGGGAAUAGCAAUAAAAUCUUAGUGCUGUGCUGCUAAGUUCUGAGUCCUAGUUCAAAAUCAAGAGGGAUAAAUAAUGGAGGAGACUGAACGAAUAGUAAAGUUAGGUUAUCCAUCACCAAGAUGCCUCUCACUGUUCUACAGAGCCCCGCAACAUAAGACUGCAUAAGACUGAGGGGAUGUGAUAAUAACAAGUGAGGUCAUGAAGGUCACUCAUAGACCUGUCAUGUUCUGUCUCUGAGACUUUGAAAACUACCACCUACCUGACUUUCUACAAGCUGGCUUUAUACUUGCUCUGAGGUUCCUUGUUAAUGCUCUAAUUUUCCAACAUGGUGCUGGCUGUGACAAAAGCAGGGCAGGAACUGGCUGCUUUGACUUCGGGAGACCAACAUAAUUUCAAGAAAGAUAUGUUUUUAAUUUCCUAUUUGCUCAGCUCCUUCUUAGCUUCUCGGUUUGGAGUAUUCAGAACUAUUUCUGAAGCAAAUUGCAUUGUCAAUGUUGGUUGCAAGUAGAGAUAGAACUAGGUAACAAAUCUGUGCUUGGUGCUAAAGAUACAGUAAAGUUUGGGGGUGUUUGAAUCUGGGUGUUUUGGUUUGGGCCAGUUUUCAGUGUAGAUGAUCUCCAGUUUACACAUCUUAGAAUUGCAGUGCAUAUUAGAGCUAAGGAAUGUGUGCGUGGAGUGCACACCAUCAACUUUGUCAUUUGUCUUUUUUCCUAUUGUUUGAAUUUAAGAUUGAUCUUUGUUUCAGUUAUGAUCAUGUGCACAUUAUAAGAAAGGGGAACAAAGUAAACAUAGUCAAUUUGUUAUACUUCAAAGGCCCAGAGGACAGCUAGAGGCCUGGCUUGCACUGAAGGUUGAUGGGAGUUGGGUCACUAGCUGCCAUUUAUGCCUUUGAAAAUCUCCGCUUUGGUGAUCAGUCAUCCAAGUCCAGACUACAUCACCAAUCUGACAGAGUGUUGUUGAUGUACCUAGGUGGAUUCAACAUGGGCAGGAGUUAAUUAUGUGAUGGGUGAAAUGAUGAGCACCCCCACAGUCACAUGCCUCAGGGACAGCUUGCCCCCACAAGGAACUUGAGUGAUAUUCUGACCUUGAUUCUGCAAGCUUGUGUGGAUUGUGCAACAGGGAGUGCAAGCUUGUUGCUCUCCCGCACAAGUCUGAAUAAAGGCGACAAAUCAGCACAAGUAAGCUAACCACUCGGAGAUAUUAAGUGGAACUGAAUCUUAGGCUCACAAUGUACCCACUUCUCUGCUCUCAAAUGUGCAGAAUAAAAAAGGAGCCCAGUGAGGGUAGAGAGUGGGCACCACUGAGGCUAUAUCAGUUUAAGGUGACCUUCAACAUGCAGAUUGGGUGCCUAGUUACUAAUUCACUAUUGUUCCUGGUUGUACUCAGACUAUAGGCAUUCCUCAUGUCAAUCUGUCUGCACCCAACAUAAUGUAAUUGAGGUUCUUUGUAGCAGUGUUACUAUGAUGGGGUCUACAAGACAGAUAAGAAGUCAGAUUAUUAAGAGAGCAGCAGCAGCUCAGUGAGUAGGAGAUGUGAGCUAGUUCUUACUAAGGAUGGGAGAACCAUCAAUGCUUUGAAAUUUGAGGUAUCCAAAAGUAUAGAUGCUUAUUCAAAGUUUAUAUAACCCGUCCAAACCUUUGGAAAGGGUUCCAGCGAUCCCUUGUUCUGUGUGCUAGUCCCCCUUCCAGCAAGCAGUCUUUGGUUCUUCCCAACUAAUUAUAUUCUUGCAGGAGGCCUUGAGGAUUUUGCAACCUCAAUACAAUUUUCAAAAGUCAGCAAGCAUGCUACACUCUUGGCUCUUCUGAAGAUUUCUGGGCAGCCAUUUCAAGGAUCUUUGAGGGUGUCCAGCAAGAUAACGUUGCCCUUCUUCUCUGCUCCCUCCAGAUUCCUUGCUUAGCAUCUUCUGGGAGAAUCAGAAGUGGGAACAAUGUGUGAACUGCCUGCUUCUCCAGCAUGGCCCAGAAACUCUCUGCUAAGUUCUGCUGCUUCACUAUUGUGAAUCUUUAAGUACUGUGUCCGUCACUCCCCAGGGUAAAAUGGGGUAUUCUUGAAUUAUUUGAUUAGAUUGGAGAAUUCCAUAUACCUUGUAACACUGUGGGGUGUCUUAA